AGGUCCCUAGAUUCGGUAUGGUAUCAAACAUUCACCCAAAGUUACUAAGCUGGUGGAAGGAUUUGCAUGGUAGUGAUAGAAUUGUUGUUCCCAAGAACUUAGGGAAUCUUCAUUCACUCUUGGAAUUUAGGCCAGACAAUAUGAUUGUGGAAGCUGCCAGUCUGUUUUGGGAUAGUAAAUGGUCGGUUUUCUAUUUCGAGGAUAUUGAAACGACUCCGGUGCUGGAAGAG
rnacentral:lncRNA from 1 species